rnacentral:rRNA from 1 species
AACGAACGCUGGCGGCAGGCUUAACACAUGCAAGUCGAACGCCCCGCAAGGGGAGUGGCAGACGGGUGAGUAACGCGUGGGGAUCUGCCUGGUAGUGGGGGACAACGUUUCGAAAGGAACGCUAAUACCGCAUACGCCCUACGGGGGAAAGGGGGGGAUCUUCGGACCUCUCGCUAUCAGAUGAGCCCAUGUCGGAUUAG